GAGCUGUGAUGAAAUUGGCUUCAGCAUUGGUUGGGUCCAUUGCAUUCAUCUGAUUUCCAGAUGAUACGCCACACCCCUGAGCUC
rfam:Arabis alpina cultivar Pajares chromosome 1, whole genome shotgun sequence.